rnacentral:lncRNA from 1 species
AUAGUGCGUUAUCGAUGCUUCAGUAACAUUACCGUUAUGGCAAUUUGCACUACACUUUUAAUUUAUGGCAUCCAUUGCAUUUACGUGGCCCAUAUAUGUCCAUAAGAAGGAAUCUUUCCUAAUUUAGGGUUGAACAACUUGUAUGCAAGUGGGAAAAAAUAUCAUGUGAUUAAAUGUACUUGUUUUGGUGACUUAUGUCCUUUAUCCACAAAAGGAUAGAUGUUGUUGAUUCUUGUCCCCUCUAUGUUCCC